CGAUCGCAUCACCGCUCCGCUGCGCUGUGUGCGUCCGCGCCCCCUGAGGCGGGACCCUACGCGCCGGAGAGCGAGGGGUGUUGUUAGCGGAGACGUGAGGAGAAACUGGGCACUUGUGACUGAAAAAAGCCCUUUAAUGUACGCGGCUGGCUGGCGGCCCCGGCGCGAGGGGCCCGGGAGCGGGGAACAGGAGCUCCUGCAUCACUGUCUUAUGUCUGAGUUCGGAGAGUCCUGGCAUAAAUAGCUCAAGUAUGAUGAUAAUUCAGCUGCUGGCUUACAGAGCCUUGAGAAACCUGCUGGAAGUGUUCAGAGAAGCCUAGUUACAUGUUGGAAAAGCCCACGUUACUCCAAUGUCCACUCUCCACUGUGUUUUGAUUCACUUUUGUACCCAGAAGACAGCAAUAUAAUGGGCAAGAGGAAGAUUCCAAAGUUUGUGUCUGCACAGGACUGUUGGAACACACACACACAUGCUGCAGGGGGGAACACCAAAAAAACCCCCAAAUCCAGUAACCAAAAACACCCAAAACACUUCAUCUUCGCACUUUAAUUCAGAAUUACUUGCACAUCUGAAAGGUCAGUGCUGGAUUAUAUAUAACCUGAGUGAAAUUCCUCUCAGAGCCUGUCACCAACUGUCCCGUAGCUAUGAAUAGGUACAAGAGUCACCCACUUGGGAACAUUCAUGAGGCUGAAGCAUUACUGAU